rnacentral:rRNA from 1 species
AUUGAACGCUGGCGGAAUGCUUUACACAUGCAAGUCGAACGGUAGAGGGGGGCAACCCCUUGAGAGUGGCGAACGGGUGAGUAAUAUAUCGGAACGUGCCCAGUCGUGGGGAUAACGUAGCGAAAGUUACGCUAAUACCGCAUACGAUCUAAGGAUGAAAGCGGGGGACUCGCAAGAGCCUCGCGCGAUUGGAGCGGCCGAUAUCAGAUUAGGUAGUCGGUGGGGUAAAGGCUCACCAAGCCAACGAUCUGUAGCUGGUCUGAGAGGACGACCAGCCACACUGGAACUGAGACACGGUCCAGACUCCUACGGGAGGCAGCAGUGGGGAAUUUUGGACAAUGGACGCAAGGUCUGAUCCAGCCAUUCCGCGUGCAGGAUGAAGGCCCUCGGGUUGUAAACUG